UGNANUGGAGGAACUCUGAUGCAGCGACGCCGCGUGAGCGAUGAAGCCCUUCGGGGUGUAAAGCUCUUUCGACGGGAACGAUAAUGACGGUACCCGGAGAAGAAGCUGCGGCUAACUACGUGCCAGCAGCCGCGGUAAUACGUAGGCAGCAAGCGUUGUUCGGAAUUACUGGGCGUAAAGAGUGUGUAGGCGGUUCUCUAUGUUCGGUGUGAAAUCUCCCGGCUUAACUGGGAGGGUGCGCCGAAAACUGGAGGGCUUGAGUAUGGGAGAGGAAAGCGGAAUUCCUGGUGUAGCGGUGAAAUGCGUAGAUAUCAGGAGGAACACCUGCGGUGUAGACGGCUUUCUGGACCAUCACUGACGCUGAGACACGAAAGCGUGGGUAGCAAACAGGAUUAGAUACCCUGGUAGUCCACGCCCUAAACGAUGCAUACUUGGUGUGAGCCGUUCAUUCGGUUCGUGCCGGAGCUAACGCGUUAAGUAUGCCGCCUGGGGAGUACGGUCGCAAGGCUGAAACUCAAAAAAAUUGACGGA
rnacentral:rRNA from 1 species